GAUGAACGCUAGCGGCAGGCCUAACACAUGCAAGUCGAGGGGUAACCAGAGUGAUAGCAAUAUUACUUUGGCUAGACCGACGCACGGGUGCGUAACACGUAUGCAACCUACCUUAUACUGGGGAAUAACUUCGAGAAAUCGGCGCUAAUACCCCAUAACACUGCGGAGAGGCAUCUCUUUGCAGUUAAAGCUCCGGCGGUAUAAGAUGGGCAUGCGUCCAAUUAGAUAGUUGGUGAGGUAACGGCUCACCAAGGCUACGAUUGGUAGGGGUUCUGAGAGGAUGAUCCCCCACACUGGUACUGAGACACGGACCAGACUCCUACGGGAGGCAGCAGUGAGGAAUAUUGCGCAAUGGACGAAAGUCUGACGCAGCCAGGCCGCGUGCAGGAUGACGGCCCUAUGGGUUGUAAACUGCUUUUGUACGGGAAUAAACCCUUCUACGUGUAGGAGGCUGAAGGUACCGUAAGAAUAAGCACCGGCUAACUCCGUGCCAGCCGCCGCCGUAA
rnacentral:rRNA from 1 species